GGUAGCGAAGGGCUGGAGGCUAACACCGAGCUCCCCCGAGCCUCCCCGGAGCAGGGAGGGCUCCGCUACCUCGGGGGGCCCUCCCCGCGGGCAGAUGAACUGCUGACUUCCAGUGCUUUUGAAUUGUGAGCUAGGAAAUCCAUCCAGCUCCUCCCUGGCCAAGCAACUGGGAACGCCACUGGGCUUUCAGAGACGUGAAAGCUGCUCGCAAACCAUUGAGAGGCUUUUAGACGAUCUACACUUCUCCUUUUAACUCAAUUAAGCUGUCAGGAUCCAGUUCCUAUUCUAGGAUGUUCGUCUGCUGUGUUGAGGAUCCCGUCCUGCGGACCCCUCCCCUGGCCCCCUCGGAGCCUUCUCAAAACGCCAUCUUCCUGCGCUCAGUGAGACUUUCCUGCUCUCUGUGCAGCCGGAACCACCCCUCCUUCCCUCCGUUCUCAAGCAGCCCAUGAUGGUCCCCUUCAUGGCAGCCCUCAUUUCAUCACCUGUGCUUCUCUGUCAGCUUUCUGCACUAGCUACUUAGCUCCCUGAGUGGAAGAUGGGUCAUUAUAUCCACCCACAUUGCCCUGCCUCUGUGCGGCCCAUCGUCAGCACUCCAUAAAGAUUCAAUCUUUAUUUUUCAACCUCCCUGAAAACUCGAUGUCAGUAUUUAAAAAUGGCUCCUGUGAGGAAUCAGAGGAGUGACGAUGGUAUUUUGGAGUCAGAUUUGGGUUCAGGUCUAAGCUCUGCUGAGUAUUAGCACUAAAAUGGCUUCCUAAUUCUUAUCAUUUCCUAGCCUCACCUUCUUCACUUGUACAAGGAAGGCAAUAACAUGUCUUUUAUAGGUUUUUGUGAGAAUUAAAAUGAGAUCUUGCAAGUAAAAAAAAAAAAAAUCACAGUUCUGCCUUACCCCUACCCUCCUUUGAUGUUAAAACAUUUCAAAUGUUGAAGCAUUUUACCCUGGAACAUGAAUUGUAUUGAUUUAAUAGAGAUGUACCACAUUUGCUGUUGGCUAAUGCAACCUUCCUUGAUGCAACAACAAUCUCUUCUUAUUCACACUUGCAAGUUUUGCAAAGGCUUAUUAUCUUGUAAGUGGACUUAUCUAUUGGUCACUGAAGAAAUCCCAGUGAUGGGCAUGAUGACCAGGCAGCUGCUCUGUUUGUUGCCGAGUUAUUCUCUCAUGUGGAGGGUCAGCCUCACACCAUCAUGCUGACCUCUUCACGCCCAACGUCAGCUUUAAAGAUGACACUCUUCUCUUUUCCCCUCCACAAAAAUUCAGUUGCUACUUUCACCCAUGGGAGGGAAGCAGUGGACUCCACUCAUCCAUCUAACACAUUGAAUGUCUGCCAUGUUCCAGGUACUAAGAUAAAAGAUGAAUCAACCAAGGUGUCGCCACAGAAAAUGGAAGUGGAUAUUCAGAAAACAAAGGGACAGCGGAGGAUCUCACAGACAAGCUGAAGGACUGCUCAGAGAAGGGGGAGGUUCACACAACCUCAACCAAAACAGAAUGAGGCAGAGAAGGAAGUUGCAUCAGAAGAGGAAGAAUGCCAAGGUCAUGCUGAAGAGCCACAAUGUCACAAAAUAAAAAUAAAAUGCAUGACUCUU